UACGUAGGGGGGCAAGCGUUGUCCGGAAUCAUUGGGCGUAAAGCGCGUGUAGGCGGCUCGAUAAGUCUGCUGUGAAAAGUCCAGGGCUCAACCCUGGGGAUGCCGGUGGAUACUGUCGAGCUCGAGUCCGGAAGAGGCGAGUGGAAUUCCUGGUGUAGCGGUGAAAUGCGCAGAUAUCAGGAGGAACACCAAUGGCGAAAGGCAGCUCGCUGGGGACGGUACUGACGCUGAGAACGCGGAAAACUGGGGGGAGCAAAACAGGGAUUAGAAAACCCCGAGG
rnacentral:rRNA from 1 species